rnacentral:misc_RNA from 1 species
AAUUCUCAACCAUGUCUUGAUUGAUUUCAACACAUGGCUUGGAGUUGGGGGUUGUCGGAUGUCUGAAAGACAGGUCGACUCUCCUUAAAUGCAUUAGCAAAGGGGGCAGCAAGUCUUUUUGGACAUGCACGGCCUUUCGACGUGAUAAUGAUCGUCGUGGCUGGAGUGUUUGGAUCUUGCAUCGAGCUCUGUUUGCUUCAAACUGUGAUGAUGGAAUUCCAAGCCUAGUUACUAGCCAGUUGUGAGGCUGGCGAACACAGGUGGGGGAUGACUUUGUCGAUUUUGCAA